rnacentral:rRNA from 1 species
AAUGAACGUUGGCGGCAUGGAUUAGGCAUGCAAGUCGCGCGACAAGCCAUUUUUAGCUUGCUAUUGAUGGUGGAGGAGCGGCGUAAGGGAGAGUAACGGGUGGAUUAUCUGCCCUCGGGUCCGGGAUAGCUGCGGGAAACUGCAAGUAAUACCGGAUAAUAUCUGCGGAUCAAAGGUGUGAUUCCGCCCGAGGAUGAGUCCGCCUCCUAUUAGCUUGUUGGUGGGGUAAUGGCCUACCAAGGCUACGAUGGGUACCGGGUGUGAGAGCAUGGCCCGGCUCACUGGGACUGAGACACUGCCCAGACACCUACGGGUGGCUGCAGUCGAGAAUCUUCGGCAAUGGGCGAAAGCCUGACCGAGCGAUGCCGCGUGCGGGAUGAAGGCCUUCGGGUUGUAAACCGCUGUCAGUAGGGAGGAAAUCUAUGAGGGUCAUCCCUCAUAGUUGACCUAUCUUCAGAGGAAGG